rnacentral:lncRNA from 1 species
AUGUUGUCAGAAAGCAAAUGAGAGAGAGAGGGGAUACAUCUGUCAUAGAUGUUUCACUCUGCCCUUAACUUCUUAUGAAAAGUUCCUAACUGUUUUAUCUCCAAAGAAAGACAUUUUUUCCUUUUUACCAGUGAUAAGUAACUUCAGUUUAAUAAAAUUGGGCAGGAUGAAUGUUUUUUCCUAAGUUGAACCAACUAAUAAUGGUAAUAACAAUGACAACAACAGCAGCAAUAGGACAGUCUCAAAACCAGGGAUGGCAGAACAAUUAUAGCAUCUGCUACAAUAAUUGCUAUUGUUCUAUGACCUAUGAAGACUUUUCCAUGUACUCUGAGCCUUAGCACAGGCUCAAAGAACAGGCAAUUUUGGUCUUGCCCACAGUAUGCGGAAGUUCCUGGGCUAGGGAUCUAAACCAUAGCCAGUAACUUGAGCCACAACAGUGAUAACUCCAGGCCCUUAACCCACUAAGCCACCAGGGAACUCCCAAGAACAACAAUUUUAGUAUUUAUGUCUUUACUUCUUUUCAUUUACCAUAGGUACACCUACUUACCCAUAACUAUGAAACAAGGAUAGAUUUAGCAUUAAUUAAUCAGUUCUGGUGAUACUAAGGAUGGGCAAUGUUCGUACUUAAACAAUUUGUUCAAACACAGAAAUUUAAAACCUCGGUGUUGAAAGUGAAGAACUAAAGCCCAUCCUAUAAAUUAAAUGCAUCAUGUCUUGUGUAUCACAAAAUGUUGGCUGAAUUGAUUUGCUCUUGAAUUUUACUAUUUCUCAGAUUUCUUUGGGCUAUAUUAAAAAUUGUUAGAGGAUAUAUUACAUUCAUAUUUCUCUGGUAAGUGCUUGGAAAAAAGGCCAUCAAAAAUACUUCUUUGAUCCUCAAGGCAUCGACAAUCUAGUUAAGAAGAUAACAUUUGUAGCCUUCAAAUGUCUUCAACUCAUGGCAGAAGGAAAUCCACCUGUAGGAAAGGAUCACUGAAUAAAAUACAUUGAGUUCUAUGUGCUAAACUAAGUGAUUUAAGGCUCAACAGCUCCUAAAAGAAAACAAAUCCAGGAGCUCCUGCCAUGGCUCAGCGGAAAUGAAUCUGACUAGUAUCCAUGAGGAUGCAGGUUCAAUCCCUGGCCUCGAUCAGUGGGUUAAGGAUCUCGUGUUUCCACGAGCUGUGGUGUAGGUCACAUAAGUGGUUCGGAUCCUGUGUUGCAUGGCUGUGAUGUAGGCCAGCAGCUACAGCUCCAAUUCAAUCCGUAGUCUGGGAACCUCCAUAUACCAAAGACAAAAAAGACAAAAAUAAAUAAAUAAAUAAAAUAAAGAAAAAAAGAAAAGAGAAAAGAGAAUAAACCCAAGAUAAAGAUCUAACAUUAGACUUUAGACUUGGUACAGAGACAUGGCUGGAGCUAAUGUGACUCUGUCUCUGGGCACCCAUCACAGCACCAAGGCUUGUCAUAUAAAGACUUGCCCUCAGUUUAGUCAUCUGUAAAACAGACUGAAAAUUUCCCAUAAACCCAUCUCCUAGGAGCAAAGUCUGGCUUGAAAAGCUUUCUCAGAUGCAAGACAGACACUUUGGUAGUUAUCCUAGGAGUUCCUGUUGUGGCACAGUGGAAAUGAAACAAACUAGUAUCCAUGAGGAUGCAGUUUCAAUCCUUGGCCUCGCUCAGUGGGUAAGGAUCUGGCAUUCCUGUGAGCUGUGGUGUAGGUCACAGACGCAGCUUGGAUCCUGCAUUGCUGUGGCUGUGGUGUAGGCUGGCAGCUAUAGCUCUGAUUCGACUCCUAUCCUGGGAACUUCCAUAUGCUGUGGGUUUAGUCCCAAAAAAGCAAAAACAAAACAAAAAAACAAAAAAUACCCCAAAAACAUUAGUUUUCCUAAAAUACUGGUAGAUACCAUUGAUUACUUACUAUAUGAUGCACACCUCACUGACUAUUUCAUAUGAUUCAGUUUAAUCCUUGCAAAACUAUGAGUAACUAUAACUCCAUCACUUAACAGGCAAACUCAGAGCAUUAAACCUAAGACCUUAAAGUUUGUAAGCGAUGGCGUCAGGAUUUGAAUCCAUUUCUGCCUCUGAACUCUGAAGGUCUCCUGCUUUAAACCACAAUCUAGGCUACCUCUGCUAGCCAUUCCACUGUUGAAUCCAUUAGACUUAUGUAUCCAACUUGUUCUGCUAAACACUGAGAGGUGAUGAGGGAAACGAUGAGAAUUAAAAAUAAAGACUAGGAGUUCCCUGGUGACUCAGUCGGUUAAAGAGCUGGCAUUGUUUGUGCUGUGGCUCAAGUCACUGCUGUGGUGUGGGUUGGAUCCCUAGUUUAGGAAGUCUUGUAUGCUGUAGGCGCAGCCAAAAAAAAAUACAGAAUAUAUCACAGGGCUUUCUAGAGCAGACUAAUCUGUAAAGGCCAUUGAAUAUCCUCAUUUUACAGGUAAUUAAACUAAGGCCAAGAAAGGCUAAAUCAUUUGCCAAAGGUUAUUCACUUACAUAGUCAAAACUAGAUAUAGUACCCAGGGUGAUUGAUUCCUAUUCCAGUCCCCUUUUACUUCUUCAAUACCUUAAAACUGUUAAAUGCUGAGGAAAGAAUAGGGUUCACUGACUUUGCUAAUUAUCUAAAAGGUUAAACAGAAAGCUCUAUGUUAAUCUUUGUUACUGAAAAUCUAUAGAUUAGAUUUCCUGCUUUAGCAAAUAUAAGAACAAAAUAUAUUUCUUGGUUUCAACAUGCUACAGUGGAAUUGGUACCAAAACAGGAUUCAUUUAGGUUCUACUCUCAACUUACCCAGUUAUUUGCCAUGCAAAUGUGUAGACUGUUACAUGAAAGCUUCCCACUGAAUCAUGCCAUUAGAUAUCCAUGCCCUUGCCUGGUGCCUUUAGUAUCUACUCUGAGCUUGGUCAUGUGAUUCGCCUUGGCCAGUGGUACCCUAACAGGUAUAAUACAGCAAGGCUUGCACACUGGGGAAAACUGGAAGCAAUGUGAAAGAGCCCAUUCUAACCACCUUGAGCAUGAAGGACUAUCUUUGAGAGAUGAUCAGUCAGCCCAGCCAUUGCUAUUACAGCUGAGGUCAGUCCUCAGCUCUGGCACCCAGAACUUCAUGGAGGCACCACCAACUACUAAUAAGAUUCAAGCCUGAGGUAAAAGGAGUUUGCUCCCUGGUGGUUACCCACUUUCAAGAGAUGGUGUAUUCUCUUCCAUGUCUCAAGCCUUCCAUGAAAGAUUAGCAAUGAGAUCCAAAUCUAGCCAU